rnacentral:misc_RNA from 1 species
AAGUCGUAACAAGGUUUCCGUAGGUGAACCUGCGGAAGGAUCAUUAAAUAAUCAAUAAUUUUGGCUUGUCCAUUAUUAUCUAUUUACUGUGAACUGUAUUAUUACUUGACGCUUGAGGGAUGCUCCACUGCUAUAAGGAUAGGUGGUGGGGAUGUUAACCGAGUCAUAGUCAAGCUUAGGCUUGGUAUCCUAUUAUUAUUUACCAAAAGAAUUCAGAAUUAAUAUUGUAACAUAGACCUAAAAAAUCUAUAAAACAACUUUUAACAACGGAUCUCUUGGUUCUC